GUCUAUAUAGAUUAAAUGUAAAUCGUGAUGCUGUUAACUUCAAGAAAUAGUUGUUACUAUUAUAGUCG
rnacentral:tRNA from 2 species